ensembl:snRNA U5 U5 spliceosomal RNA
UAGCUCGGGUUUCUCUUCAUUCACGGCAUAAAUCUUUCUGCCUUUUACUAAAGAUUUCCGUGGAGAGGAACGUUGACGAGUUCAACUUAUUUUUGUGAGCUUUGCUGAGGCAAAGCU